rnacentral:rRNA from 1 species
UACGAGUGCCUCAAGCGUUAUCCGGAAUCACUGGGCGUAAAGGGUGUGGAGGUGGUCAUGUUAGUCUUCUGUAAAAUUCUUCGGCUUAACCGGGGGCUCGCAGGGGAAACGGCAUGACUUGAGGGUGCGAGGGGUGAAUGGAACUCAUGGAGUAGGGGUGAAAUCCGUUGAUAUCAUGGGGAACACCAAAAGCGAAGGCAAUUCACUGGCGCAUUCCUGACACUGAAACACGAAAGCGUGGGUAGCGAAUGGG